rnacentral:rRNA from 1 species
UCUGGUUGAUCUUGCCAGCAGUGAUAUGCUUGUCUCAAAGACUAAGCCAUGCAUGUGUCAGUAUAUAUUUUGCAUUAGAAAACUGCGGAAAGCUCAUUAGAAAAGUGUAAAUGAAAAGUCAUAAUAAUAAUAUGCAUACCUUCUGUAAUUCUGAGGCUAAUGGAUGCAGGCGAUAAGGCAGUUCCAAAACAUGCACAUGAUGAGUUGAAAUAUCACCAAUUUAUUGGGAAUAUGUGCAAUACAAUUAUGUAAGCUGUUGCUUGUCACAUAGGCGAUUAUAUUCUUACCUAUCAGCUUGCGAUGAUACGCUAGUAACGUAUUAUGGCUGUUACGGGUGGCGAAGAAUUAGGGUUUGAUCUCGGAGAGGACGCUUGAGAAAUAGCGGCUACAUCUAAGGAAGGCAGCAGGCGCGUAAAUUACCCAAUCUUGACACAAGGAGGUAGUGACAAGAAAUAACUGUGUGUGGCUCUAUGCUGCUCAUCCGGAAUGUGUGACAGGUUAAGCGUGUUGCGAGUAGCUAUUGGAGGGCAAGUCUGGUGCCAGCAGCCGCGGUAAUUCCAGCUCCAAGAGUGUAUAUUAAAGUUGUUGCGGUUGAAAAGCUCGUAGUUGGAUUUAUGCUAUGCUGGUACAGUCGACCCCCUGGGUAGGACUUGUAUUGUUGCAUUGCACACUGUAGAAUUUGUGUAUGUUUUUCAGUAAAUGUGCAGAAUACUACUUAGUUACUUUGAGGAAAGUGGAGUGUCACACGCAGGUUGCGCCGUGAACAUGCUAGCAUGGCAUGACGCUGUAUGACUACGAGUCUUUUUGAACGGUUUCGGGACACGUGGUAAUGAUUGAUAUGAGGUGUUGGGGAUACUCAUAUUUGACAGUUAGAGGUGAAAUUCUUGGAUUUGUCAAAGAUGAACAAAUGCAAUAGCAUUUAUCAUGGAUGUUUCAUUUGAUCAAGAACGAAAGUUAGGGGAUCGAAGACGAUCAGAUACCGUCCUAGUCUUAACCAUAAACUAUGCCAACUGGAAAUUGGAAUAUAUGGAGAGAAAAUAUAUUCAGUAUUGUGCCUGAAAAGAGUAAGUGUGUGGGCUCCGGGGGGAGUAUAGUUGCAAGACUGAAACUUAAAGGAAUUGACGGAAGGGCACCACCAGGAGUGGAGCCUGCGGCUUAAUUUGACCCAACACGGGAAAUCUCACCAAGUCCAGACAUACGCAGGAUUGACAGAUUAAUUGCUCUUUCUCGAUUGUAUGGGUGGUGGUGCAUGGCCGUUCUUAGUUGGUGGAGUGAUUUGUCUGGUUAAUUCCGUUAACGAACGAGUUCCUAUUCUGCUAACUGUUGCAACA